UGGGGAAUUUUGCACAAUGGGGGAAACCCUGAUGCAGCGACGCCGCGUGAUUUAGAAGGCCUUCGGGUUGUAAAUAUCUUUUUUACGGGAUGAAAAUGACAGUACCGUAAGAAUAAGGUCCGGCUAAAUACGUGCCAGCAGCCGCGGUAAUACGUAUGGACCGAGCGUUGUCCGGAAUCAUUGGGCGUAAAGGGUACGUAGGCGGCCCAGUAAGUUAGAAGUGAAAUAAUAUAGCUCAACUAUAUAAAGCUUUUAAAACUGCUAGGCUUGAGAGAUGGAAGGGAAAGUGGAGUGCCUAUUGUAGUGGUGAAAUGCGCAGAUAUUAGGAAGAAUACCGGUGGCGAAGGCGACUUUCUGGUCAUCAUCUGACGCGGAGGUACGAAAGCGUGGGUAGCAAACAGG
rnacentral:rRNA from 1 species